CAUUGUAGAACGACUCGCUCUGUAUUGUGCGCUGCAUCAUGAAGCUUCGAGUGAUGAACCUUUUUUUGAUAGUUAGGAAAACAUGAAACGUUACGUGUUUCAGGUUCAAGUUCGACAUUUAACGGGACUUUAGCUCGUCCCCCAGACCAGAGUCUUAACAAACAUUAUCGCGCUUGUGUGAGAAGCUGAGAGGAGACGCGAGUAGCUGCUUGUUGUGGCGCUUCGGCUCAUCUCCAUAUGAGUCAUGGACUUGUGUCUGGUGUGUGUGUGCUCACCAUGGCUGGCACAUCCCUGCCCUGCAGGUAUCAGUCAUGGUUAAGGUCAACAACCAGACUCAGUACCGUUACAGCCAGGACUCACCGGUGGUGUUUGUGGGUGGGCUGCCCCACUCUGGCACCACACUGAUGUAGGACAUUCUCAUAUGUAACACUUUUACUGAGUGUGUGUGUGUACAGUUGGUUAUGUGCUGUGAGUGAUGUGUAACACUGUUACUGAAUGUGUGUG